UGGGGAAUAUUGCACAAUGGAGGGAACUCUGAUGCAGCGACGCCGCGUGAGUGAUGAAGGAAUUCGUUUCGUAAAACUCUGUUCUAUGGGAAGAAAAGGACUGUACCAUAGGAGAAAGCUCCGGCUAAAUACGUGCCAGCAGCCGCGGUAAUACGUAUGGAGCGAGCGUUGUCCGGUAUUAUUGGGCGUAAAGGGUGCGCAGGCGGCUUUACAAGUUGGAUGUGAAAUAUUGUGGCUCAACCACAAACGUGCAUCCAAAACUGCAAAGCUUGAGUUAAGGAGAGGUAAGUGGAAUUCCUGGUGUAGCGGUGGAAUGCGUAGAUAUCAGGAGGAAUACCGGUGGCGAAGGCGACUUACUGGACUUAAACUGACGCUCAGGCACGAAAGCGUGGGGAGCAAACAGG
rnacentral:rRNA from 1 species